UACGGGGGGAGCAAGCGUUGUUCGGAUUUACUGGGCGUAAAGGGCGCGUAGGCGGUCGUGCCAAGUCACUUGUGAAAUCUCCGGGCUUAACUCGGAACGGUCAAGUGAUACUGUCGGACUAGAGUACAGAAGGGGCAACUGGAAUUCUCGGUGUAGCGGUGAAAUGCGUAGAGAUCAUGAGGAAGACCAGUGGCGAAGGCGGGUCUCUGGACAGUUCCUGACACUGAGGCACGAAGGCCAGGGGAGCAAACGGG
rnacentral:rRNA from 1 species